rnacentral:lncRNA from 1 species
ACACAGCGGUAGUGUGGAGAAUUUACUCCAAGUUUCCACAAAACAUGUAUAUAAACAUAAAAUUCCACAUUUUUAUUCACCUAAAUUUCUAUUUUAAAGAAUCAAGAAUUUAAUAACAAGACAAAAUUCUUCUUCACUCAAGAUGAAAAGAUGCUUUUUAAAUGCAGGCAGUUUUCACAGUUGAUGAUCAUGUGAAAUUCAGUAAUCUCUUUUUCUUGCUUGUAAGGAACAUGAUGGAUACUUAAUAGAUAAGAGACAACAUUGAACAUUAAUCCCCAACACUGAGUAUGAAGAACUUUGAGUAAGAAACUACUCCUCAGAUCAUGAAGAAUGAAAAUGCCCAUGUAAAUAGGUAAGAUAAAAAUAAUAAAUAUAAUAUACUGUUUAAAGUCUCUGAUAUAAACUCCAAAAUCUCAGGAUAUCUUUUUAUUUAAUGGAUAUAUGUACAAAAAAGUUUUCCCCGCUCUACCCUUCCUUAAUCUUUUAGGUAUUCAAGGGCACUUUGCCUUUUCUUUUAAAAGUUUUAUAAAUUUUCAUAUUCUUGAAAAAGAGAGUGAGAGAGAGAGAGCAAUAUCAUCAUUGUUCCACUCUGCAAAUGCCCACAAUAGCCAGGAGCUGCACCCAGAAGCCCAGAACUCAAUCCAACUUGCUCACAUGGGUGACAGGGUCCUGAACACAUGUGCCAUUAUCUGCCACCUCCCAUAAUGCAUUAGCAGGACACUGGAUUGGGAGUAGAAGAACUGGAACAAAAUUCACACACUGAUACAAGAUCUGGGGCAUCCCAAGUAGUUAACCUGCUGUGUCAGAAUACAUACCCUGCACAUUCCCUUUUCUUGAGUUUUAAAGUGUCCUAGAUAAAUGUUCAUAUGGGAUGCAUUUUUGUUCUUAUAGGAUAACCCAAAAAUAUAGAGAAAGUGCAUGGAACACCAUACCUGAUGGUGUGUCAGCAGGUGAAGCUCAAAGAUCCUCAAAAAAAAAAAAAAAAAAAAAAAAGACUUCAUUGGACAGGAAUGGGGGAGACAAUUUAUGUAAUCUAUAGAAAGAGGAAUGGGAGGUUGCCACGGGGGUGGAAAUUGGAGGCAACACUCCUUUCUCUGGAUGUUUUCUUCUUGUUUAUUUCUUAUCUUUCUGAGGUACCACCUUCCUUUUAUACUUCUCAAUACUCUUAUCCAACUUCCUUUUCAGUGUAUUUUCUCCAAAACUGCCUUUUUAUUCCACUUUCCUUAAAUUCUGUAUUUUUUGUGAAUCCUUUCUGAAGAACUGCCUUCCUUUUGAUUUUUUCAGUGUAUUUUAUCUACAUCUUUGAAUCAAUAACUUGAAUAAUUAUCCAACAAAAAGCUAAAACACAGAGAGGUUAGUUCUCAAAAGAAACACAUGACAUUACUUGGACUCCAUUCUUGAAAUACAGUGAAGAAAAAAAUGGGAAAAUUAAGGGGUAAGUUUAGGUUUGAAAAUAUCUUAACAUUUCUACCCAGUGUAUGUUUACACCUAUGUGGUUUAAUUUCAGAAAAAACAUAGAAAUUCUUGGAAUUUCCUUUUAAAUAUUCUUUCAUUGAUGUUAUAUGACUCAAUUUAAAGUAUUGCCCUACUCCAGGUUAUGUUGAGUGAAAUAAGCCAAUCCCAAAGGGACAAAUACCACUUGUUCUCCUUGAUAGGUGACAACUAACUGAGCACCAAAAAGGAAACCUGUUAAAGUGAAAUGAACACUAUGAGAAACGGUGACUUGAUCAGCCCUCACCCUGACUGUUGAUGAGCAGCUUAAUAUGUUAUCCCUCUUAGUAUUUUUUGUUUGUUUGUUCUACUUAAUACUUUUGGUUGAAUACUGUAAUCAAUACACAAUUCUUCUUAAGUGCUGAAACUUAACUGAAAAGUGAUCGCUGUUAAAUAUAAGAGUGGGAAUAAGAGAGGGAAGAGAUGUGCAAUUCGGGACAUGCUCAAGCUGACUUACCUCAAACGGUAGAGUUAGAAACAUACCAGGGGUCUCGACUUCAAUCCCAUCGAGGUGGCAUGUACGAAUGCCAUCUCACUAGUCCCAGUGACCAAUUUCUGUUCACAAUUGAUCAUAAUGAUAGGACUAAGAACCAAAGGGAUCACAUAAACAAGAAUAGUGUCUGCAAAUACUAGCUGAUAGAAUCAAAAAGGGAGAGAACAAUCCAACAUGGGAAGUGAGAUACACAGCAGACCCAUAGAAUGGCAAAUGUCCUAACAGCACUCUGGCCUCAUAAUCAGCCCUUAAGGCAUGCGGAUCCGGCUGAAAUGCCCAUGAGAGUAUUUCAGGCAUGGAAAGCCAAGACACUCUGGGGAAAAAAAAAAAAAAAAAACCCUAAAUGAAAGAUCUCCAUGAGUGAGAUCGCAGUGGAAAGAAUGGGUCAUCAAAGAAGGAGGUACCUUUCUCUGAAGGAAAGAGAGAACUUCCACUUUGACCAUGGCCUUGUCUAAAAAUUAUCAGAGUCAGUGAACUCAGGGGGCUUCCACAGCCUUGGCAGCUCAUGACAAGAGCCUAGGGUGAUUACUGAUGCCAUAAACAAGAGUGUCAACUUGUUAAGUCAACAACAGGAGUCACUGUGCACUUACUCCUCAUGUAGGAUCUUUGUCCUUAGUGUGCUGUACAUUGAGAUUUAAUGCUAUAACGAGUACUCAAACAGUAUUUUUCACUUUAUGUUUCUGUGUGGGAGCAAACUGUUGAAAUCUUUACUUAACGUAUACUAAACUGAUCUUCUGUAUACAAAGAGAAACGAAAAUGAAUCUUGAUGUGAAUGGAAGGGGAGAGGGAGUGGAAAAGGGGAGGGUUGCGGGUGGGAGGGAUGUUAUGGGGGGGGAAGCCAUUGUAAUCCAUAUUCUGUACUUUGGAAAUUUAUAUUCAUUAAAUAAAAGUAAAAAAAAAAAGACCCCA